AGCGCAGUGGAAUGGCCUCGAACAUGGA
rnacentral:sRNA from 1 species